rnacentral:rRNA from 1 species
ACAGAGGGUGCGAGCGUUAAUCGGAAUUACUGGGCGUAAAGCGCGCGUAGACGGUUUUGUAAGUCAGAUGUGAAAUCCCCGGGCUCAACCUGGGAACUGCAUUUGAUACUGCAUGGCUAGAGUACGGUAGAGGGAAGCGGAAUUUCCGGUGUAGCGGUGAAAUGCGUAGAUAUCGGAAGGAACACCAGUGGCGAAAGCGGCUUCCUGGACCAGUACUGACGUUCAUGUGCGAAAGCGUGGGGAGCAAACAGGAUUAGAUACCCUGGUAGUCCACGCCAUAAACGAUGACAACUAGAUGUUGGGAGGGUCUGCCUCUCGGUGUCGCAGCUAACGCGUUAAGUUGUCCGCCUGGGGAGUACGGCCGCAAGGUUG